GGGCAUAUAAAAGAUUCACACACAACACACAUAUACACACACGGGCAUAUAAAAGAUACACACAUAAACAACACACACAUAUGUGCUGCAGCACAUCCACAUGGACACGCGAGCACAGGCAUGUAUACGGAGGCAUUCCCAGGUACACAUCUAUGUACACAUCUAUGUACCUGCACACACACACACACACACACAAAUGCUCUCUUGUGGGUUCGUUUGCAUUAUGACACUGAGAGUUUGUACUUACUGGAGUGUCUUUGGGUCCUGGUGUUGGUCUGACCCCCCUCAACUCAACUCCUGGGCCUCAGGGAGCUCACCGUUCCAGUGCCUGCUGAGGGAUCAUUUAACACCUCGGUCAGUCAGGAAGUGGGGCCCCGAAACUGGUUCUGCCACUGCCUUUUGCUGCAGAACUGUGGGAAGUCCCUGCCCCAUUCUGAGGUCCAUUCUCCCACGAGGACAAUGGAUGUGGACUGGCCAGCCACGGGUCCCGCCAUCCAUCAGCCUGUGUGGCUCAGGAGGCAGCAGGCCAGUCCCUGUUCCUCUGGUGGGCAGCAGCUGGGAGAUCACUCUGUAACUCGCCAGUGUGGCUGGCACAGUCUCCCAGCCCAGCUUAUUUACGACGCUUUUAGCUCCGAGCGGACCCAUUUCCGAACUCCUCUCCAAGAGAUCAAUUAUCCUAAAGGGCUGAUUUGUAUCACUGUGGUUGGACAAUGCCUAACCAGAAAGCACUCCUGCCUUUCAACAAUUUCAAGCCAGGGAGAGCUAUGGAUUUUUUUCUUCACCCUAAUUGAGCACUUCAAAAAGAGGGGUUGAAAACCUUCAAUAGGUUUCAUUUUUUAGGGAAAGCAAUUUUGACUUAUUAGGCACUGUUGGCUUCAGAAACAUGCUCGCUAAUGACUUCUAUUUAAAUGUUUUCCUCCAGCUGAGAGGUUUAAAAAAAAUACAGUGUUAAUAGAUUCAGCAUCCCCUCUAUGAGUAUUUUCUCACUGCAACCUCUGAACUUUCUUGGUCGAUCCUCUCAAAUGGUCAAGAGAACCCAGAUUGUGUUAAGAAAACCCCUGGCUGGGUGCAGUGGCUCACGCCUAUAAUCCCAGCACUUUGGGAGGCCGAGGCGGGCAGAUCACCUGAGGUCAGGAGUUGGAGACCAGCCUGACCAAUACGGGAAACCCCAUCUCUACUAAAACUACAAAAAUUAGCUGGGCAUGGUGGCUCGUGCCUGUAAUCCCAGCUACUCGGGAGGCUGAGACAGGAUAAUCUCUUGAACCCGGGAGGUGGAGGUUGCAGUAAGCCAAGAUCUUGCCAUUGCACUGCAGCCUGGGUGAUAGAGCAAGACUCUGUCUCAAAAAAAAAAAAAAA
rnacentral:lncRNA from 1 species